rnacentral:rRNA from 1 species
CGGUGGAGCAUGUGGUUUAAUUCGAAGCAACGCGAAGAACUUACCAGGCCUUGACAUGCAGAGAACUUUCCAGAGAUGGAUUGGUGCCUUCGGGAACUCUGACACAGGUGCUGCAUGGCUGUCGUCAGCUCGUGUCGUGGGAUGUUGGGUUAAGUCCCGUAACGAGCGCAACCCUUGUCCUUAGUUACCAGCACGUUAUGGUGGGCACUCUAAGGAGACUGCCGGUGCAACCGGAGGAAGUGGGGAUGACGUCAAGUCAUCAUGGCCCUUACGGCCUGGGCUACACACGUGCUACAAUGGUCGGUACAAAGGGUUGCCAAGCCGCGAGGUGGAGCUAAUCCCAUAAAACCGAUCGUAGUCCGGAUCGCAGUCUGCAACUCGACUGCGUGAAGUCGGAAUCGCUAGUAAUCGUGAAUCAGAAUGUCACGGUGAAUACGUUCCCGGGCCUU